rnacentral:rRNA from 1 species
AACGAACGCUGGCGGCAGGCCUAACACAUGCAAGUCGAGCGCGCCCUUCGGGGUGAGCGGCGGACGGGUGAGUAACGCGUGGGAACGUGCCCUUCUCUGCGGAAUAGCCUCGGGAAACUGAGAGUAAUACCGCAUACGCCCUUUGGGGGAAAGAUUUAUCGGAGAAGGAUCGGCCCGCGUUGGAUUAGGUAGUUGGUGGGGUAAUGGCCCACCAAGCCGACGAUCCAUAGCUGGUUUGAGAGGAUGAUCAGCCACACUGGGACUGAGACACGGCCCAGACUCCUACGGGAGGCAGCAGUGGGGAAUCUUAGACAAUGGGGGCAACCCUGAUCUAGCCAUGCCGCGUGAGUGAUGAAGGCCUUAGGGUUGUAAAGCUCUUUCAGCUGGGAAGAUAAUGACGGUACCAGCAGAAGAAGCCCCGGCUAACUCUGUG